GUCAGAAAUGGAGGGUGGAGCUCGGUCGAGCUGCUGCACCCUAAAUCGAAAAAUCCCUCUAGUGAGCCAGAAUCCUCUUCCCGUUUCCUUUCAUUUUUUGACCAUUGGUUACCUAACAUGUUUUUGGUACAGGGCAACCGAAGGAAAGCUGUGACCGCGAGGAAAGAAUGGCAGAGACGCCGCACCGGAAAACCCAAACCGCUAGUAAGUUUUAAUUUUUCUUCUUUUUCUACCAACAGAGGCCACAUAACCCUAAAUUUCGUAGGUUUUCGAAUAGAAUUGAUCGAAAUCGACCUGACCGAGAGAAGGAACUACUGUAGGCGGUGGAAUCG
rnacentral:lncRNA from 1 species